rnacentral:lncRNA from 12 species
CCCCCCCAUUUAACUCACACCCUGGUCUCAUCUGUCACCUUCCACCCUGAGGCCCCCAAGCCUCUCUCACACCUCUUCCAGGAAGAAGUCUCCUCUGAUGUUGAGGGUUCCAAGGGUGGGAGGUAUAGAACCUAAAACAGAGGACCCAGACACCCAGUGCUCACCUACAUGGAGCCCUAUCGGUCCUUGGCUCUACUCACUGGCUCCCUGGGCCUGGUGUCCAUCCUGAUUGCUCUGAGUACGGAUUUCUGGUUCGUGGCCAUGGGGCCCAGCUUUACAUUUCACUCCGGCCUCUGGCCAAAGGGGGUUUAUAACAAAGUAGCAGACUACAUCCGUGCGACGCAGAGCCUCACCAUUCUGGCUAGUCUGUCGGUCCUGGUGUCGGUGAUCUUCCUGGUCCUGUCCUACAUCCCCUUACUGUCCCUUCCAGGCCACGGGCGCCUCAUCUCCUCUGUCACAGCCUUUGCUGCAGGCCUUUUUGCGAUGGUGGCCAUGGUGGUCUAUACCAGUGAGCGGUGGAACCAGCCUCACAGCCCCCAGGUCCAGACCUUCUUCUCCUGGUCCUUCUACCUGGGUUGGGUUUCGACUGUCCUGUUGCUCUGUACAGGUAGCCUGAGUCUGAGUGCUUAUUGUAGAGCCUCCCGGCCUGGCUAUGACACCUUGUGAGCUGAAGGCGAGACCAGGAGGAAGAAGCAGUAGUCACAGAAGAUGUCGUCAGGAGCCGCAGGCACCCACAGGCCUCCCUCUAGCCCUUACCCCUAGCCCUCCUGAGACCCCUUCAUUUGUUUCUUCAUCCAUUCAACAAAAAUUUGCUGGGAUCUGGUUAAUCUUUCUUUUUUCUUUUUAAGAUUUUAGUUAUUUAUUUGUGAGAGACACAGAAAGAGGCAGAGACACAGGCAGAGGGAAAAGCAGGCUCCCUGAAGGGAGCCUGAUGUAAGAUUCGAUCCCAGGACCCUGGGGUCAUGACCUGAGCAGAAGGCAGAUGCUCAACCACUGAGCCACCCAGGCAUCCUGGAAUCUGGUUAUUCUGAGAUUAAUUCCGACACGACAUAAACUGAGCUCCAAGGUGGGGACACUAGGCACACAGAAAGGAGUCAGAACCCCCACCUGUGCUCAGGUAGCUCCCGCACACGACUGUGUGGAUUCAGGCACGGUCCCAUGUCUUUUCCUUCUCUUGCCCUUAUCUUUCUCCCUGUUUCCACCUCAAGACUCUCUGUCCUUUCUCUUUCUUCUUUAUCUUUCCAUCUCACUCCUGCUCUGAUUUUGUCACCCUGGUCUUCACUCUGGUCCUCCUUGCCCACUUCAUUAAUUCACUUACUCCUUCAGCUGGCUUUUCCUGAGCUCAUCUUUCCUGCUGGGUCUCACUGGGGUGCUGAUGGUAAUCUGACUUGGGCCUUGCCCACUAGGGCUGCUAGUCCUGGUUGGGGAAAUUGAGACCACAGGUAGAGUCCAGGAUGGUGGGAAGAAAGACUGUUGGGGGUGGUGAAGGUGAGCUUUUCUGGGGAGAGGGUGUUUAGGGGCUUCUUGAGGGCCAAGGAGAGGUCAUCCAGGCAGAGGGACACAAAGGUGGAGGUGUGGAAUGGCUGGACGUUUUCAGGGAUGGAAAA